UAAAAAUGACGGGAUAGUAAUAUUAAAUCCAUUGAUGAUUAAGACAAAAAAGAUCCUGAAAUCGGAGUUAUGGCAUCAACAACCUAAAUACACCAGAUGCACACUGAACUGUGGAACUUAUGUCCAAGUUAAAUACAAGUCCAUGUCUGCUUGGUUGAAUUAAAUGAGACCAGGAUUCCAACAAAAUUACGAGAGUUGGAAAAGAAUAUAACUAACACUGACAAGUGACAGCUAAUUGGAGUUGCACACAUUAUCCUGUGGAAAGUUUGAUUUCUUGAUGGAGACCCAACCAUUUGUGAAGAGUGCAG